rnacentral:lncRNA from 1 species
UUUCUUCUAGUAUUAUGAGAUUGAUUCAUGCUUAAUUCUGUAAGAAACUAAACUAAUAUAAAACAUUCAUGGUAUGAAAUCAAAAGUAUGAAAGUAAGUAAAGUUAGUGUGAAAUGUAAUGUGAUUUAAGUACAUAUCUAGGUGAGAUCAAAUUAAGUUCUGGAAUGAAUAUAGGUAGCUCAGUCUUGGGGGUUUUCCUCAAUACUCUAAUGACUAUUCAAUCUCACUUAAAGAAGAUUGGUUCAUGUGGUGAGAGUAAUAAGAGGUCCUAGUUUUGGUUGUCUCCAUUUUAUAUGGGCCAAGGCGAGUGAUAACGGACUAACCUUGUGGUGGUAGGGUGGAACCCAUAGCAAUUGGCUUUGCAAAGCAGUAAAGGCCACCAUAAGUGCAUAACCCGCCAUAGCUCAAUAUUCAUUCCGGGUCCGUACGAGUCUAAGUCUAACACCACUUAAUAAAACUCUAAUUUAUAACUUAGUAAAACUGUUCUAUAUAAUAUUGUUUGCUCGACCUUGUAUGCUAGUUUAAUUUUGAUUACUUGUAAUAUUUUAGACAUCUAGCUUACCCUUGCAAUUGUGUGUUUUGUAUGUGUUUGAUUUCUCUUGCAAUGAUCAUUCAAAUUGGAUGUGAGCAGAGGUCCCUCUGGAGCAGAUAUUAGAUAGAGUUGAUGCUGCUGAGGCUCCAGACACUGCAGAGUAGUUUAAACUAGAUAGGAUCCCUUAUGUAUAUAACUUAGUUUCUCUCCUUUUCUUCCUUUUGAAAGACUUUAUAACUAUAUGUAAAACUUUUAAAUUUCCUCACUCUUUUGGAUGACUAUAUUAUAAUAUAGAGUUAAAUAUGUUUUUAGUCCCUAUACUUUGGGACGAUUUUGGUUUCAGUCCCUCUUUCAAACUAAGGUACAAUUUAGUCCUUCAACUUUAGAAAACUCUGGUUUUAGUUCUUUUUACCAAAUUUUUUUAACUUUAUUUGUUGUUUCAAACGCAUUUCUCAGUUAACAUUGAAGCAAAAAUGUGUAAAAUAGUGUAAACAAUCCAAAUGCUAUAAUGAAACGUGCUUGAAAAGUUAAAAAAAUUUGAUAAAAAAAGACUAAAACCGAGUUUUCUAAAAUUGUACCUUAGUUUGAAAGAGGGACUAAAACAAAAAUCACCCCAAAGUAUAGGGACUAAAAACAUGUUUAACCCUAUAAUAUAUAAUUCAUCUGAUAAUUUCUCUUAACCACUUUACUUUAUUAUACAUGUUUGAUUCCAUAUGAUAUAUAUAUAUAUAUAUAUAUAUAUAUAUGUUUCAUUCCAUAUGAUAUAUAUAUAUAUAUUUGGGAUGUUACAAAUUGGAAUUGGUUGGCACAAUUCCAUUUUUUUUCCCAUCAUUAUUUCAAAUUAUAUAUAUUAUUCUAUAUUAUUUAAUUGAUUCUAUACACAAUUCCAUUUGUAAGAUUGAUGUUCAUUUUAAAAAUCUCUAUAUUAUCGAGUUCUUAGUUUUUAUAUUAUAAAAUCAUUUCAAAAUCUAGUCUUUUUGAUAAAUUUUUUUUACUUAAAAAUUCCCAGGGGUACAUCAGUGCAUCAUUAUAUUUUUGUUUGCUUUGGAAGUCUUCAUUUCAUAUACACAUAUCAUCUAUUUGAUUGAACAUAAAGAACAAUUGAAAUAAAAAACAUGUUUUCUACUCUUAUCUUUAAUAUUUUUUUCAUAUAUUUAUUUGAUUGAACAUAACCCUAAAAGUUGCAUUUAUUACUUUAGGUAACUGUUUAAACUCAUUAUUUAUUUGAUUGAACAUAACCCUAAAAGUUGUCCCUUUAAAACUUAUUAAAUCAUUUAUUUGUGACUCUAUUUAAGACAUUUUUUUGUAAUACACAAACUGUAUUGUAUAUAUUUAUGACUUGAAUUAAGCUAUAAAUAAACUAUAGAUUCAGCUCUUGUCAAGAGAAAUUAAAAAUAAAAAAGGCCUUAAAAACAAUACUUAAUUUUAUCUAAAUUAAAUCAGUAAAUAACGUAUAGUCAACAUAAUUUUUUUUAAGUCAACUCAACUUUUACAAAAUAUGAAAAAUACACCUAUCCCACCAAAUAGUCUUUUAGGUUUUAAAAAUGGAUAAUAAAAAUAAUGAAAAUUACUAAAUAAAAGUAAUAUCUUCAGUACAAACAUUUAUAAACAAUAACAAAUCAACCAUAAAUCAUAACAGACAUUUACAAAAAUACAAAAAAUAAAUCCAAUUUCUUCUGACUCCAUUCACUACACACUUUACCAGCAAAAUUUAACAAUUUUUAAAAUAAACAAACUAAGUAGUAAAUCCUAAUCUGCUUGUUUCCAAAUCAAAUAUUGAAACCUAGAAAAAAAGAACACAAAACUGACCAAAAUUACGUUAUGUAAGAAUAACUUGAAUCACAACUUCACUAAGAAAUAUUAUGCGUGUAGGCAAGUCAGGUAUAUGAAUGGAUUGCCUCAAGAUUUUGAAUUCAGGAAGGAAAUUUCCUUUCAUACAUCUAAUUGAAUCAUCAUUCUUGCCUUUCUUUCCUUAAAAUAGAUAAACAAAUAAAUAAACAGCACAGAAUAAUAAACAACUCUAAAGCUAAUAAAAAACAAUUUGUUCAAAUGUUUCCCACCAGAUACAGAGGCACUGAUACAUGACCCAACCAAAGGAGAUGAAGUCCAAUUAGUCGAAUCUAAAGAAGGCAAAGUGAGAAAAAUAAUCACACUUGCCAUAGAAAUCAACAAAAAUGGAGAUUCAAACUCCAGUGGAAUACAGAGGGUUCAAUGAAUCUUGAUAAGAAGAGAAAGGUGGAAAAAAGAGGACUCAAAAGGAAACCCUAAAGAGAAACCUCAAAGCGUGUUGAUAUGGCGCUGCUAUGACUCGACACGCUUCCAUGGAGAAAUUGGGAAGGCGAUCUUAAGGGCAGCGCGCUUAUAGCAAACAGAUUCAAUAACCAAUUAUAACAUUACGAAAACGAAAAUGCAGUCUGAAAAGAGAGAAAGAAGGCAAAACCCUAGUGGCUGGAGAACGAAACGAGGGUAUAUAUAGUCUCAUGGAUAUUCUGGAAGACAAGAUUACCCUUAUUGGGCUUUUCUAUAUCAU